rnacentral:lncRNA from 1 species
ACGACACUUCUGAACGGAAGAGGCUGAAUGUGGUCUGUUCACUGGAAGAGGCUGAAUGUGGUCUGUUCACUGGAAGAGGCUGAAUGUGGUCUGGUCACUGGAAGAGGCUGAAUGUGGAGGUCUGGUCACUGGAAGAGGCUGAAUGUGGAGGUCUGGUCACUGGAAGAGGCUGAAUGUGGAGGUCUGGUCACUGGAAGAGGCUGAAUGUGGAGGUCUGUUCACUGGAAGAGUCUGUAGUAGAAAUCAGCCAUACAGGAACACGUAUCGAUGUCAUUUUAUAUAUUCUACCGUCUGUAGUGGUACUCUCUACACCAAUUAUAUUCCAUCGUUAUUCACCUGCUGUAGCCUAUAGGUCUGUUUCGCUCAGAUCCAAAUUGAAAAACUAUCACUCCUGGGUCGUAGUUAGGGCUUAGCAAAGUUACCGGAAUCUUCAGUCAUUUUUGGUAAUUAACAGAAAAUCUAUGGCAAUCUAUCGUAACUUUGGUAAUUUAAUACGAAUAACUUUACAACAAAAAAAGUAUUGAUUUAUAGUAUUAAUAAUGUAUUAUAUCUGUG